rnacentral:pre_miRNA from 1 species
UGGACAGAUUAUUGUAUUCGACUGUAUUCACAACAUGAAAUAGAGGAUGGCUCUGUUUUUAAAUGAAAAGUGAAUCAAUUAACAUAAUAGACUUCU